rnacentral:rRNA from 1 species
AGUACGCACGCAAGUGUGAAACUCAAAGGAAUUGACGGGGGCCCGCACAAGCGGUGGAGUAUGUGGUUUAAUUCGAUGCAACGCGAAGAACCUUACCAGGGUUUGACAUCCUGCGAAUCUCUUGGAAACUUGAGAGUGCCUUCGGGAACGCAGUGACAGGUGGUGCAUGGCUGUCGUCAGCUCGUGUCGUGAGAUGUUGGGUUAAGUCCCGCAACGAGCGCAACCCACGUCUUUAGUUGCCAGCAUUUAGUUGGGCACUCUAGAGAGACCGCCGGUGAUAAACCGGAGGAAGGUGUGGAUGACGUCAAGUCAUCAUGCCCCUUACAUCCUGGGCUACACACGUACUACAAUGCUACGGACAAAGGGCAGCAAGUUCGCGAGGACAAGCAAAUCCCAUAAACCGUAGCUCAGUUCAGAUCGUAGGCUGCAACUCGCCUACGUGAAGGAGGAAUCGCUAGUAAUCGCAGGUCAGCAUACUGCGGUGAAUACGUUCCCGGGCCUUGUACACACCGCCCGUCACACCAUGGAAGUUGGCCACGCCCGAAGCCGUUACUCCAACCCUUGUGGAGGAGGACGUCGAAGGUGGGGCUGAUGACUGGGGUGAAGUCGUAACAAGGUAACC